ensembl:lncRNA
GCUGCAGCGCGACCGAGGCGGAGGCUGUCAAGCAACUUUUGUGUAUGAACUUCCAAGUUUUGAACGAUAGCAAAAGGAAGGAGAAACUGGAGUAAAGGGAACAACGGAUAAGAAAAGACAAUACUAUUUUGACGUUUUUGUCGUGGUGAAAAUCUAGAGACUCGACGCUCACCUUGUGGCCAAACAUUGUGAUAGAGGUUUUCCUGGAAUCUGUGUCUCUCUGAGAACGGCGGAGGUGGGGAGAGGAAAGAUUAUCCUGAGACUGACACACAAGACAGGACAGGAGCCUAAAGACACAAGGCACAGGCCAACCAUCACCAGGGAGAGAGGGAGAGGGAGAGAGAGAGAGACCUUGCUGUUGAGAGGGUCCUCGAUAGGCAGACAUGGCUCUCAAGAGAAGACAGGCUAUGUGCACACUGCCCACAAAAUGAGGUGGAAACUGAGAUGCACUUCCUAACCUCCUGCCCAAUGUAUGACC